rnacentral:rRNA from 1 species
UACGGGGGGGGCAAGCGUUGUUCGGAAUUACUGGGCGUAAAGGGCGCGUAGGUGGCCUUCUAAGUCAGACGUGAAAUCCCCCGGCUUAACCUGGGAACUGCGUCUGAUACUGGGAGGCUUGAGUAUGGGAGAGGGAUGUAGAAUUCCAGGUGUAGCGGUGAAAUGCGUAGAUAUCUGGAGGAAUACCGGUGGCGAAGGCGGCAUCCUGGACCAUUACUGACGCUGAGGCGCGAAAGCUAGGGGAGCAAACGGG